GGUUGGACCAUGCGAGGUCGCCUUACCGUUCGACCGACUAUUUCGUCCGGUUCGGUUCGGUUCCUUGACGGUGGGUACGCCCAUACAGCGGGAAAACUCUCUUGAGGGAUUGUGAAAAUGGAGGAUCGCUGCUUAGCGAGGGAUGAACUCUCUGUAUUCCUGGAGUCUGGAAUAUAUCGGUUCGUGGAUUCGAGAUUCAUUUUUGUAGAUCCAGUUCGUGUUUUGAAUCGUUCGUACUCACGGUUUAGGGUUUCUCCCGCUGGUUACUACUCACGAUUCUUCGACUAUGAAAGGAAGGGCUUAGAGAACAAGGAUUGUUUGUCGUAUGGAAAGAAGAGAAAGAGGAAGGAGAAGAAACUUCGAUGUUUAAAUGAGAAGGAAUGUGCUGCUGAUCAACGCCACCAGGUGGCGAAGCCUCUGUUACUUAAGGCGUACGAGUUGUUGUUGCAAGCUACUGAUCUGUUGAGUGUAACGAGAAGUUUGAACCGUGAGUCUGGUUCUUCAGAGGGAAGGAAUUUGCCCAGUGAUCAUCAGUUAUUGAUUGAACAUGGACGGAUUUGGCAAGCGCCUUUAUACGAGAUAACUCUGAAACUCCCUGAGCAUGAUCAGUCGAGUGAAGUUGGAGGAUCUUCUUUCAAGGACAGAGUGGUUCCUUUAUUCAAUAAUCUGGUUGUCAAUGAGACAUCCGAUGAGGUGGAAGCUGAAUUUCUUGAUCAUCAAUAUAUAUUGCCUCGUGAAAGUUGCUUCUACAUGUCUGAUUUGAGGCAGGUUCACAACCUUAUUCCUGCUAAAGCUAGCUCUGGCUUCAGUCUUAUUCUGAUUGAUCCACCAUGGGAAAAUGGAAGCGCUCAACAAAAAUCAAAGUAUCCUACAUUGCCUAACCGAUAUUUCUUAGCUCUGCCUAUUAAGAAACUGUCUCAUGGCAAAGGGGCACUGGUCGCCUUGUGGGUGACAAACAGAGAAAAGUUCCAUCGUUUUAUUGAUUUGGAAUUGUUUCCUGCAUGGGGAGUCGUACAUAUUUCCACUUAUUACUGGUUGAAGGUCAAGGCAGAUGGUUCAUUGAUAAGUGAUCUAGAUCUCUUUCAUCACAGGCCGUAUGAAUGCCUUCUCUUGGGCUAUUGUUAUGUGAUUAAUGCCAUUGGAUUCGAACUGUUCAACACUGUUAAACUUUUACUUAAUGUCGACUUCUUUAAAUUACUUGGGAGUAUAGGAUGUUCAAGAUGUGAAAAUUCUGGACCAAACCUUACCUAAAGAUCGGGUCAUCAUUAGCAUUCCUGGUGAUUACUCGAGGAAGCCACCAAUUGCAGAGCUUCUGCAAGAGUAUGUUCCGGGGCCCAAACCUGGUCGCUGUAUCGAACUGUUUGCUCGAGAAAUGAAUCCUGGAUGGCUCUCUUGGGGGAACGAACCCCUUCACUUCCAGGAAUCACAAUACUUCACUCGGACAUAGGCAUGCUAUACUUUCAAUGUAAGCUCUGCAACUCUCCCUCCCUCUGCUGAGAUCUUUUUGAGUACUUUAUCAUUUUCCAAAGUCAUAAGGUGCGGCCACAUACUUUGAUCCUUUGCUAGAUUAUUGUUGAUUGGCAUGAGCCUGAACGAAUAUACACUUAGAGGGAUCCCCCUCACUAGCCCCACUUCCCCAUCUUAACUUGUGAACAGCUCAUUGUAGUGAAGUUUUUACACCGGUUUUUCCUUCACGUCUUUGCAUGUAGUUCUAGUUUCGCACAUGGGUUCUGAAUAAAAAAAAAAAAUCUGAAUCCAUCAUUUCCUCAUCAGAAAACGUUGCUCUCUCUUUCGUGUUGUGACUUAUGGGUUUGAUUCUUUAUGCGGCCGAACUAUCAACAUUCACUUCGGAUAAAACGUAUACACUUCGAAUUGACACA